rnacentral:rRNA from 1 species
AACGAACGCUGGCGGCGUGGAUAAGACAUGCAAGUCGAGCGCUCAUUCCGGGGUAGCAAUAUUCCGGAGUGGGAGCGGCGCAAGGGUGCGUAACACGUGGGUAAUCUGCCAUGAAGUUUGGGAUAACUUGCUGAAAGGCGAGCUAAUACCGGAUGGUGAAAAUCGGGUGGCAUCAUUUGAUUUUCAAAGCUGGGGACCGUAAGGCCUGGCGCUUCAUGAUGAGCCCGCGGCCUAAUCAGCUAGUUGGUGAGGUAACGGCUCACCAAGGCUAAGACGGGUAGCUGGUCUGAGAGGACGACCAGCCACACUGGAACUGAGACACGGUCCAGACACCUACGGGUGGCAGCAGUCGAGAAUUUUUCACAAUGGGCGCAAGCCUGAUGGAGCGACGCCGCGUGGGGAUGAAUGGCUUCGG